CUUCGACUUCUGUUUCUGUUUCUGUUUCUGUUUUCGUUUUCGUUUGCGUUUUCGUUUUCGUUUUCGUUUCCGUUCCCGUUUCUGUUUGGGUUUGAGUUGUGGAUUCCUGAUAUUGCUCCAAUAUGGUCCACGGUUCCGUUCCACGCAGAGGUGG
rnacentral:ribozyme from 1 species